rnacentral:rRNA from 1 species
GACGAACGCUGGCGGCGUGCUUAACACAUGCAAGUCGAACGGAAAGGCCCUGCUUGCGGGGUACUCGCGUGGCGAACGGGUGGGUAACACACAGGUGGUCUGCCCUCCACUUCGGGAUAGGCCUGGGCAACUGGGUGGAAUACCGGCCAGGUGCCAUUUUUAGUGUGAUGGUUGGAAAGUUUGUUCGGUGUAUGAUGAGCCCGCGGCCUAUGAGCUCGUUGGUGGGGUAAUGGCCUACGAAGGCGGCGACGGGUAGCCGGCCUGAGAGGGUGGACAGCCACAUGGGGACUGAGAUACGGCCCAGACUCCUACGGGAGGCAGCAGUGGGGAAUCUUGCAGAAUGGGCGCAAGCCUGAUGCAGCGACGCCGCGUGCGGGAUACCGUCCUUCGGGUUGUAAACUACUUUCGCUAGGGACGAAGCUUUUGUGACGGUACCUAGAGAAGAAGCAACGGCUAACUACGUG